CGAUGCAACGCGAGAACUUACCUGGUCUUGACAUCCCGGAGACCCUUAGGAAACUAGGGGGUGCUUCCAUCUGGAAGAAUCUGGAGACAGGUGCUGCAUGGCUGUCGUCAGCUCGUGUCGUGAGAUGUUGGGUUAAGUCCCCGCAACGAGCGCAACCCUUGCCUUUAGUUGCCAGCAGUUCGGCUGGGCACUCUAAAGGGACUGCCGGUGUUAAACCGGAGGAAGUGGGGAUGACGUCAAGUCCUCAUGGCCUUUAUGACCAGGGCUACACACGUACUACAAUGGCCGAUACAAAGGGCAGCGACACUGCGAGGUGAAGCCAAUCCCGUAAAAUCGGUCUCAGUCCGGAUUGGAGUCCGCAACUCGACUCCAUGAAGUUGGAAUCGCUAGUAAUCGUGGAUCAGCAUGCCACGGUGAAUACGUUCCCGGGCCUU
rnacentral:rRNA from 1 species